rnacentral:rRNA from 1 species
CCUACGGGAGGCAGCAGUGGGGGAUAUUGCACAAUGGGGGAAACCCUGAUGCAGCGACGCCGCGUGUGGGAAGACGGUCUUCUGGAUUGUAAACCACUGUCCCCAGGGAAGAAUUUAGACGGUACCUGACUAAGAAGCCCCGGCUAACUACGUGCCAGCAGCCGCGGUAAUACGUAGGGGGCAAGCGUUAUCCGGAUUCACUGGGUGUAAAGGGAGCGUAGACGGCCAGGCAAGCCUGGAGUGAAAGCCCGGGGCCCAACCCCGGGACUGCUCUGGGAACUGUCCGGCUGGAGUGCGGGAGGGGCAGGCGGAAUUCCUGGUGUAGCGGUGAAAUGCGUAGAUAUCAGGAGGAACACCGGCGGCGAAGGCGGCCUGCUGGACCGCGACUGACGUUGAGGCUCGAAAGCGUGGGGAGCGAACAGGAUUAGAUACCCCUGUAGUC